CCCCUCCUCCAGCUGGUAUAAUAAUAACUCCACUACCAUAGACGUCCCCUCCUCCAGCUGGUAUAAUAAUAACUCCACUACCAUAGACGUCCCCUCCUCCAGCUGGUAUAAUAAUAACUCCACUACCAUAGACGUCCCCUCCUCCAGCCCCCCACAGAGUAGGAGUGUAUCUGGACUGGUCAACCGGCACUCUGUCCUUCUAUAGAGCCUCCUCUGACACACUGACCCACCUGAUCACAUUCACCUCCACAUUCACUGAGCCCCUCUAUCCAGGGUUUGGGGUUUAUGAUGAAUCCUCAGUGUCCCUGAAAUAAUAACUGGACACACACACACACACACACACACACACACACACACACACACACACACACACACACACACACACACACACACACACACUGGACACACACACACACACACACACACACACACACACACACUGGACACACACACACACACACACACACACACACACACACACACACACACACACACACACACACACACACACACCACCUGGACAAACACACACACACACACACACACACACACACACACACACAAACACACACACAAACACACACACACUGGACACACACACAAACACACACACACAAACACACACACACUGGACACACAAACUGGGCACACACACACACACACACUGGACACACACACACACACACACACACACACACACUGAACACACACUGAACACACACUGAACACACACAAACUGGACACAAAAUGGACACACACUGAACACACACAAACUGGACACAAAAUGGACACACACACUCAACACACACACCGGACACACACACACACACACACACACUGGACACAAAAUAGACACACACACUCUCAACACACACACUGAACAAACACACACAAACACAUUCUGGACACACGCACACUGGACACACAAACACACACACACACACACACACACUGGACAAAAACAUACACACACACACACACACACACACACUGGACACACACACUUACACACACACACACACACUGGACAAACGAAAACACACACACACUCACACACAUACACACACACACACUGGACACACACACACACACACACACACACCUGGACACACACACACACACACACACACACACUGGACACACACACACACACACUGGACACACACACACACACACACACACUGGUCAAACAAAAAUACACACACACACACACACUGGACACACACACACACACACACUGGACAAACAAAGUGGACAAACACACACACUGGACACACACACACACAAACACUGGAUACACACAGACACACACACACUGGACACACACACUAGACAAACACACACACACACACACUGGACUCACACACACACACUGGACACACACACACACUGGACACACACACACACACACUGGACACACACACACACACACUGGACACACACACACACACACUGGACACACACACACACACACUGGACACACACACACACACUGGACACACACACACACACUGGACACACACACACACACACACUGGACACACACACACUGGACACACACACACACACACACUGGACAAACACACACACACACACACUGGACAAACACACACACACACACACACACUGGACAAACACACACACACACACACACACUGGACAAACACACACACACACACACACACACUGGACAAACACACACACACACACACACACUGGACAAACACACACACACACACACACUGGACAAACACACACACACACACACACUGGACAAACACACACACACUGGACAAACACACACACACACACACUGGACAAACACACACACAAACACACACACACACACACACACACACUGGACAAACACACACACAAACUGGACAAACACACACACACACACACACACACACACACUGGACAAACACACACACACACUGGACAAACACACACACACACACACACUGGACUCACACACACACACACACUGGACUCACACACACUGGACUCACACACACUGGACACACACACACACACACUGGACACACACACACACACACUGGACACACACACACACACACUGGACACACACACACACACACUGGACACACACACACACACACACUGGACACACACACACAAACACUGGACAAACACACACACACACACACACUGGACAAACACACACACACACACACACUGGACAAACACACACACACACACACACUGGACAAACACACACACACACACACACACUGGACAAAAACAAACACACACACACACACACACACACACUGGACAAACACACACACACACACACACACACUAGACAAACAAACACACACACACUGGACUCACACACACACACACACACACACACUGGACACACACACACACACACACACACACACACACACACACACACACACACACACACACACACACACACACACACACACACACACACACAAACAGGACACAUACACACACACAGGACACACUCUCACACACACACAUGCGCAUCUUCCUAUAAUUGUGAGGACCUUGACCCAUGACCUCUUACAAUAACACCGUUAGUCUUUCCACAAGACUCCCAUGACGUUAUAGUGUGACGUUAUGAGUCGACGUUAAAGUAACAUUCUCACAACAUACUGCACUUGUUUUAUCCUGUUUUAGAUGUAUCCUCUGUUUAAACAUUUAAACUCUUACAAUAACACCGUUAAAAUACCAAUGUGAUCAUUUCUUGUCUUUUAUGUUGGAAAAACAAAUUGUACAAUUAUAUGUGGACAUACGCUCCAUAGUUGUACAAGUAUACAUGGAUAUAUUGUACUUUUCAUAAUAAAACAUACUUGAAACAAGAAAAAGCAUGUUAAUUGUGAAAACAAUUUCGUUAUUGAUUUUUACAUUGCUUCUCCCUGUCUCAUGUUGACGUUUGUCAUGAAUCUUGACCUGGAGGCAGAACUGUGCGAUUUCCUCUAGAUAUGUCAGCUGCAAAGUCAGAAUUGGCUGUGGAAAAUAAUGUUGUUUUAUGGUCUUAAUUUAAGGGAAGGAUUAGCAGUGUGGUUAGGGUUGAGGUAAGGAUUAAAAUCUGAUUGUAUUACUUUGUGCCUGUGCCAGCUAGUGAAUACUUUGCUGAACUGCCUAGAGGGCAAGAUUCAUACCAAUAAAUGCCAACCUGCCUCCAGGGCAAGAUUCAUGACAAUAAAUGCCAACCUGCCUCCAGAACAAGAUUCAUGACAAUAAAUGCCAACCUGCCUCCAGAACAAGAUUCAUAACAAUAAAUGCCAACCUGCCUCCAGGGCAAGAUUCAUGACAAUAAAUACCAACCUGCCUCCAGGGCAAGAUUCAUGACAAUAAAUGCCAACCUGCCUCCCAGUCAUCCCCUCCUUAUCUUUACAAGGCUGCAGAACCUGCAAGCUAGUGAUGUGGGGGUUCUCUCAUAACCCUCAGUCCCCAGGUGGGUAGAUGGCAGGUUGAAUAAAUAGAAAACAAUAGGCUAUAUAAAUCAAUCCAUAAAUGUAUAGUUAUUAUGUAAUUUACACAAAACAUUAAGGACACCUUUCUUUCCAUGACAAACUGACCAGGCGUAACUCAGUAUUAGGAAGGUAUCCUUAAUAUUUUGUCCACUCAGUGGCUCUGACCCUUUACGUAACAGUCAAUCCUCUUUACCAGGAAACCUUCCUUAAAUUUCCCCAAAUGUUUCCACACUGCUGCUCUCUCACAGCUGCUCCAGGGCCUCUUGGGUUGAGGAGUCAUUCUCUUCUAACCUGAUCACAGCUGCUCCAGGGCCUCUUGGGUUGAGGAGUCAUUCUCUUCUAACCUGAUCACAGCUGCUCCAGGGCCUCUUGGGUUGAGGAGUCAUUCUCUUCUAACCUGAUCACAAACAAAGACAAGAUUCAAACAAAUAAACAUGAUGGUCC
rnacentral:lncRNA from 1 species